CACCAUUACAACAAAACCCUCCAAAACAAACCAGGAGGACGUUUGCAUAUUGAUUUCUAAUGUCCGUUUACUAAACAGAGACUUCACUAUAAUGAAUGAUGUAGUUUUAUUGGCUAUUUAACGUUGAUUUAUGUUAAUAAAUCGAAUUUUGAAAUUUUACUUCUUUUUUAACAAUAAACUACUUGUUAUGCGAUGCUCUCAUAAAAUUAUGAAAGUAACUAAAAUAAUGAAAAAUUAUGAAAGUUUCCCAUCUAUAGUUCUCAGAGUCACGUCAAUAAACCUUAUGCAUAAUGACGUCGCUAGGCUUGAUGCCCGCGAGGAAUGCUGGUCUUAGUAGUCAUCGCCCGGGAAAAUUAAACAAUUUCAAAAUGGCUACUAUCGGAAUUUUCCCGGGCGGUGACUACUAAGAUCAGCAUUCCUCGCGGACAUCAAGCCUUGUGACAUCAUUGUGCAUAAGUCUAUUGUUACAGAAAAUUACAACAAUAAACAAAAUAGUAAAUUUGAGUUCAAUGCUAAUCAGUAAUUUGCUAACAAACUAUCAUGAAUAUCUGAAUAGAUUUAUGUUGUGGUGAUGAAAAAGUAAAUUUUAAAAAUUAUUCCGAUAGGUUUACCACGUUUUUUCUAGCGCAAGCAUUGUCAUAGCAAAGUUGUAUACUUAUACUGUAUACGUCCAGUGUGGAUUAGUUAGGUCGACAAUCGCCAUUUGCCAAACCAAAACUCUGAAUGGCCGAUUCAUUUUAUUCUGCAUGGACAUUUUGACCGAUCAAAGAAAAUGCGCAGUUUUCAUUUAAAUUAAAAGUGUUCCUUCUCUCGCUUUUAUGCUUUAUGAACAGUACUAAUAAAAUAAUUUCCUUGGUUUCGCAGUGACAAGUAACAAAAUCACAUCACAAGUUAUAGUACCAUGUUACAGAAAAUUCCAAAACACUAACCAUGGAAAACUUUUUAGUCGUGCAUGGAUCGUUGGGACUGCUUGGCAAAAAUGUAGUAAUAUGAUCAUGCGAGAGGUGAUAUUUUGAUACAGUAUCUCGUCAAUCGAAUGUCAAUAUUGGAAAGCUCGCUGAUCAUAAUUAGCCAAUUUCCGAGCAACAGCACAGUUGAUCGGACAUUUGUCAGACCAAAGCGAAAUCGUUAUAAUCCACACUGAACGCCAAGGGUUGUACGAAGGCCAGAUAGCGCUAUCCACCGGAUAGUGAUUUUUCAACCGUUAUAACAGUGCUUGAAAAGCUAGAAAAUUACCGAUAUGGACCUCCUAAUUAAUAAAAAGAAACUUUAAUUGAUAAAGCUAUAGUUUAGUCCGGGUCACCAAUCAACGGACAUUUUUUAAAAUCUCUGAAAAGAUCGCUAUCCAGUGGAUAGUGCUAUCUGCUCGUCGUACAACCGGCCCGUGGUUUCCAUGUCGUCGCGGCUGUCGUGAGCAAAGUUAUUUUGCCUCAUUGAACUCUAUAUCUGGAGCAAGAAGUUCAGUCAUUCGGCCUAUGAGAAAAGUGAAGCCAAUAUGGUGGAUUUGGCGUCCAAUAGCUCUGAAGGUCGUAAACAAUUUUUAUUUUAACAUAAACGCAAACAUUUUCCCCAACAAAUUCGAGUUUUUUCUAACGGACCGUAACGCUAAUCAAGUUUUCAGUUCAUAAAAUCAUAAUAAUAUAAUACUUUAAAUCGGAGUCAAAAAAAGAAAUUUCGGGACAUUCCUGGCAGCAUCGUGUCCAAUCGCGCAGACAGAAACAAUAAAGGGACUGGGUUGACGUUAGCUGUUCAAUUUCGGCCAUCUUGGCUUUACUUUUUAGACUCGAGUUCUCGCUCCAGAUAUAUAUGGAGCACAGUGUUUCGCUUUCCAAACACAAUGUCUCCAACUACAGAAUAAUAAUAUACACUCCGCUAUUUGCAUUCAACGUUGACGCGGUAGCGAAGGCUUCAACUAGAUGGAAGCAAUACGCUAUAACGAUACGUUCAACCUCAUUUUUAUACACAGUCGUUUAGUGUAGUAGAUGGAGAUGUUUAUAUACAGAAUAGAAAAAGAAUGGUCAGAAAAAAUGUCAUUCAUGGCAUGUUGAUUUUAUCCUGUAAUCAUUGCAGUUUGCUCUGAACCCUGAAUGGUUUUUGUUUCUUCUUUUUCAUCUUUGACACUGUCCCAUUCAAUUUUGAAUCUUGUUACUCUUGGUUCUGAAGCAAGUAUGUUUCUUUGCAGCUAGAUAAAACAUCCAAAAGUAUUUCUGUUUCAGACUUUGUGGCUGGCUACUUCCAAAAACAGACGUAUUUUUGUUUUACUGGUAAUUGUUGAACCAGUCAAGGCUGGUUUAUCAGAGUAUCUGAUUUCAUCAAAACACACAAAAUGGUGUAAGACCAGUGAUCGUAUAUGGCGCAAAGACGUGAGCAGUGAAGGAAGAACAAGUGAAGAAAUUGAGUAACAAGACGAGAGAGAGAAUAUACAGUAAGAAGAUAAGGAAGGACUUGAAGGUGGCGGAACUAACAGAGAAGUUAGAGAAAGUAGACUAAGAUGUUAUGCCCACGCGAAGAGAAUUAAUACGAGUUCGUCAGAUGGGCUGAGGAACGGAACAAGGAAGAGAGGACGACGGAGGAUGGUUGACAACAGAAUAGAGUGGAGAAAGGUGUCGAGGGGACCCGACCCACUUCAGCGGACAAACGGGAUGAUGAUGAUUUCAUCAAAGAAUGACAGUAGAAACUUUUUCAAAGACACAAAUUUAGUUCAAAAGUCAGCGUCAAGUUUGAUGACGCCACUGUUUUCAGUACCGCACACAAUAUCUCGCUGCCCCCCCCCCCCCCC